GCGGCAAGCAGUCGCUCGCCCAUUCCGUUGGGGUCGAGAUGCCUGCGGAAUAUGUUGAGAAGGCUUUGGCCGAGGGCUUCGACAAGACCAAUGCUGGGACAAAGCUGGCAGCUGAGAACCCAGG
rnacentral:snRNA from 1 species